rnacentral:rRNA from 1 species
AGAGUUUGAUCCUGGCUCAGGAUGAACGCUGGCGGCGUGCCUAACACAUGCAAGUUGAGCGAUUUACUUCGGUAAAGAGCGGCGGACGGGUGAGUAACGCGUGGGUAACCUACCCUGUACACACGGAUAACAUACCGAAAGGUAUGCUAAUACGGGAUAAUAUAUUUGAGAGGCAUCUCUUGAAUAUCAAAGGUGAGCCAGUACAGGAUGGACCCGCGUCUGAUUAGCUAGUUGGUAAGGUAACGGCUUACCAAGGCGACGAUCAGUAGCCGACCUGAGAGGGUGAUCGGCCACAUUGGAACUGAGACACGGUCCAAACUCCUACGGGAGGCAGCAGUGGGGAAUAUUGCACAAUGGGCGAAAGCCUGAUGCAGCAACGCCGCGUGAGUGAUGAAGGCCUUCGGGUCGUAAAACUCUGUCCUCAAGGAAGAUAAUGACGGUACUUGAGGAGGAAGCCCCGGCUAACUACGUGCCAGCAGCCGCGGUAAUACGUAGGGGGCUAGCGUUAUCCGGAUUUACUGGGCGUAAAGGGUGCGUAGGCGGUCUUUCAAGUCAGGAGUGAAAGGCUACGGCUCAACCGUAGUAAGCUCUUGAAACUGGGAGACUUGAGUGCAGGAGAGGAGAGUGGAAUUCCUAGUGUAGCGGUGAAAUGCGUAGAUAUUAGGAGGAACACCAGUUGCGAAGGCGGCUCUCUGGACUGUAACUGACGCUGAGGCACGAAAGCGUGGGGAGCAAACAGGAUUAGAUACCCUGGUAGUCCACGCUGUAAACGAUGAGUACUAGGUGUCGGGGGUUACCCCCUUCGGUGCCGCAGCUAACGCAUUAAGUACUCCGCCUGGGAAGUACGCUCGCAAGAGUGAAACUNUAGCUCAGUUGGUUAGAGCGCCAGAUUGUGGCUCUGGAGGUCGUGAGUUCGACUCUCAUUAUCCACCCCAAAUUAUAUGGUCUAUUAGCUCAGUCGGUAGAGCACCUGACUUUUAAUCAGGGUGUCCCGCGUUCGAGUCGCGGAUAGAUCACCAAAAAGGCGGCGACAUAGCCAAGUGGUAAGGCAGUGGACUGCAACUCCUUGAUCCCCAGUUCGAAUCUGGGUGUCGCCUCCAAUAAAUGCGCUCAUAGCUCAACUGGAUAGAGUGUCUGACUACGAAUCAGAAGGUUAGGGGUUCGAGUCCCUUUGGGCGCACCAUAUAAAUAGCGAGGGAUUAUAGCUCAGCUGGGAGAGCACCUGCCUUACAAGCAGGGGGUCACAGGUUCGAGCCCUGUUAAUCCCACCAGUGCAAACCUCUAGUAAAACUACUAGAGGUUUUAUUUUUGAUUGAAAAAGUUUUUAUAUUUAGGAGGUAAGAAACUUGUAUAUAGUAAUAGGAAAUGAAAUAGUUGAUAGUGAAGAACUUAAAAUAAUUAUAGAUAAAAAUAGUACAUUUAAAGUUGAAAAAGAUUUAAGUAAAAGCACAAAAAGAGAAGAUGUAAUAGCAUAUCAGUUAAGUAUAGAUUUAAAUUACUUAGAUUCUCUUAUAAAUGAGCAAUGUAAUUUAGCCAGUCUAUCUGAUGAAGAGAAAUUUGAUGAAUAUAUGACUUUAUCUGAUGAACUUGCACUGGAUUUAGAAGAGCUAAUGCCAAAAUAUACAAUAAUAAAUGCUAGAGCAUAUAAAUUAGACGAGGUAGAUGGAAUUGUAAAAAUAAUACUAGCUGUAGCGUAUGCAGAUUUAGGGCACUUAAAACUUUCUGAUGUAGUAAAGAGGCUAUCUAGACAAGUAGAUUAGGAUAUGAAUAUGAACUAUAUUAAAAAAAUGUAUAAAAUCUUACGUAAAGAUGAAAAUAAUUAUGUAAACAUAGAAAAAAACAGUAUAAAAUCAAGUCAAUUGUAGGAAUUUUCACAUAAAUUCAUCUGAAAUUCUAUAAAAAAUGCCUUAAUUUUAAUGAGGUAAAUCGAGUUUACACAGUCUAAAAAUUACUUAUAUUUAUAAAUUUAUCUUAUUAAUUAAGGAACUUUCUUAAACAUCUUCAAAAAUAAAGUAUUUUAGUCUAUAAUCUUUAAUAUUACACAAACAAUAAAGGAGAAGAAUAGAGUAUGCUUAAAAAGUUUAAUAAAAUACUAGUGGCUAAUAGAGGCGAAAUAGCUAUAAGAAUAUUUAGAGCCUGUUCAGAAUUGGGGAUAAAAAGUGUUGGUAUAUACAGUAAGGAAGAUAAAUAUGGAUUGUUUAGAACAAAAGCAGAUGAAUCAUAUUUGAUAGGAGAAGGUAAAGGGCCAAUAGAUGCAUAUUUAGAUAUGGAUGGAAUAAUAGACCUAGCAAAGAGAAAAAAAGUUGAUGCUAUACAUCCAGGAUAUGGUUUUCUAGCGGAGAAUGCAGAAUUUGCUCGUAAAUGUGAAGAGAAUGGAAUUACUUUUAUAGGACCAUCAUCUAAGGUAAUGAAUAUGAUGGGGGAUAAGAUUAACUCUAAAAAAAUCGCAAAAGAAGUUAAUGUUCAAACUAUACCAGGAGUAGAAAAAGCAAUAAGAAGUACUGAAGAAGCAAAGGAAGUUGCAAACAAAAUAGGCUAUCCUGUUAUGAUAAAAGCAUCUAAUGGUGGUGGCGGUAGAGGUAUGAGAAUUGUACAUCGCGAAGAAGACUUAGAGCUUGAAUAUGAAACUGCUUGUAGUGAAUCAAGAAAAGCUUUUGGAGAAGAUAUUAUAUUUAUAGAAAAAUAUAUAGCUGAUCCAAAACAUAUAGAAGUUCAAAUAUUAGGAGAUAACUAUGGAAAUAUAGUUCACUUAUAUGAAAGAGAUUGUUCUGUUCAAAGAAGACAUCAAAAAAUAAUAGAAUAUGCACCAGCUUUUUCGUUAGAUGAUAAAGUAAGAAAAGAGAUAUGUGAAGAUGCAGUUAAGUUAUCAAAACAUGUGGGUUAUUCUAAUGCAGGAACAUUAGAAUUUUUAGUAGAUGCAAAUGGUGGGCAUUAUUUUAUAGAGAUGAACACAAGAGUACAGGUUGAACAUACUGUAACAGAGAUGGUUACAGGAAUAGAUAUAGUGCAAAGUCAAAUACUAAUAGCCCAAGGUUACAGUUUAGAUAGUGAAGAAAUUAAUAUAAAAUCACAAGAUGAUGUGGAAAUAAGAGGUUACUCUAUCCAAUGUAGAAUAACUACAGAAGACCCUAAGAAUAAAUUCAUGCCUGAUACAGGUAAAAUUCAAGUUUAUAGAACUGGUUCAGGAUUUGGUAUAAGACUAGACGGAGGAAAUGGAUUUACAGGGGCAAACAUAAGUCCU